UUAUCUGGAGAUUUUCUGGAGGUUGUUUUGAAGUAUUUUUGGUUUUGAUUUCAUUUGGCUUAUUAAAUUUCAGAUUAUAUCAAAUGACAAAUACAAAAGCAGUGAACAUAGAGUUCUGGCAAAACGUGUUGGUCCUAGGGUGUCAAUCGCGAGCUUCUUCACACCUGAUGUAAGGGCAACUGGAAAGCUUUAUGGACCUAUCAAGGAGUUGUUAUCAGAAGAAAAUCCGCCAAAGUACCGCGAAACCACAGCAAAGGAAUAUACAGAUUACUUCCGUGCCAAAGGGCUUGAUGGAACUUCUGCUCUGUUGCAUUUCAAGCUCUAAGCUUGCAAACAGAGUAGUAAAGACUAGCCUGUAAAUCUGUAAUAAAAACAACUAUUCAGGAGGCCAUAACUCAUAUUUGGAGUUUAUAUGCUCCUGUUGAAUGUAUUGCAUGCUUUCCAAAAUGUGAAGGAUUCUGUCAAACUACAUUUUGAUUUGUGUAAACCGUGUGCAUUAGUAUCCGGGAGAUGUUUUUGAGCUAAAAAGUCACUGAGCUGAAUUUGAUAUGGCCAGGCAUUAUGGUGUUUAAUGAUUGGCAUAUCAUUUCUCGGAAUUGUCCAUGUCUCAACUGAAACUGUCUCAACUGAAAAAUUUUUCUUUCUCAAAGAAAAACACAGACAUACCAAUAUUGUGUGGCUAAAAUCCUUCAAGAUGGCAUUUACAUUAUGUAUAUGCUGCAUUAGUUGGACAAAUCCUAGAGACGGGAUGAUUAUGACUUUUCAAGUUACUUUCACAUAUUGCUUUCUUAAUCAUCCUGUCUAAACUUCUAACUUUUUUUAAAUCAGAUCCUUACUCUUACCACCAAAAAAAAAAAAAAAAUUAAAGUCUUGUUGCUUUCUGCUUUUAAGCACCUAAAAGUGGAGCUAUUUCAAAAUUUGACCACUUGAAUAAUUGAGUUUAGUUGAUAUAUUUUACUGUAUGUUUUUUUUUUCAACAAACGAUAUAUUUUACUAAAUGUGUGUAUGUAAAUGUGUACUUUUCUGAUGUCUCACAGUCAAUAAUAUCCAUUUCGUAGAAGUAAAGGGGAAAGGAGGGAAAAAAAAGACAAAAUUUGAAAAUUUUUUCUAUUCAAAAUCAUAAAAAUCAUAGCAAAGAUCAUGUCAAAAAAGAUGAUUAGUCCGUUUUACUGAAUCUUGUGAUCAUUAGUAUAGUUUUGUUGCUUUUCUAUGUUAUCUAAUUUAUUGAAUGUGAACUUCUUGAGUGGCAAAAUGUGUGUAUUAAUUAUUUCUAACUUUUAAUUAUUUUUAUUUUUUUACUAAUAUAACUUAUAUAAAUGCAUAAGGGGUAUUUAUGAAAUAAAAGUUUCAUAUCUCUGUUUAAAGUACUUUUUCUAAUUAGACUAAUUUUGUUAUCAAAACAUUAACUUUAGAGGAGGUUUGAGUAAUUUUACAAACUUUAGGGGAGGUUUAAAUAAUUUUACAGACUUUAGGGGAGAAUAGUGAAAUUGUUAGAAAACCUCAGAGGUGGUUUCUGAAAUUAUCCCUAUCUAUUUUGGUUGAACUUGUGGAUGCUAGGUUAACCAAUCAUCAAGCUAAUAUAAUAACAAGUCUCUCUCCUUAUAGUCCUCCACUUGUCCUUUAUGCUGGCAAUUUUCAAACUUUGUAUUUAGUGAUUCUAGGAUGUAUAUGCACUUAUUAUAUUAUGAAUCAAACUAUUUUAAGAUGUACAUACGUUGUGAUAAAUAUAUAUUCAUUCAUGAAUUUUAAAGUAGCAUGAAUAUAUUUAUGUAUGUGAAGAUCAUUAAAUGUAAGGAUAAAUUCAUAUGUUUUAUUAUAGAAACAUGUGAUGCAUGAAUUAAAGUACAUGAAUUUGUAUACAAUAUCUUGAAUCUAUUCAUACAAGUAUUUAUUAAAUUUAUUUAUUUCUUAAACAAUCUCUUCUAUAUAAAGAAAUCAAGUAGAGAGUGAUUUGCUGCAAAAAAUUAUUUUCCUACCACUAUGAAUUCUUUGAAAAGCACUUCUUAGUUCAAGAAAGUUUGUCUUAUUUUGUGCAAGAGUUUAAGACAAAUAAAGUUUAUCUUAUCCUAAAAAAUAUUUAUCAAGAUUUAUUGCACGUUAUAUCGAACAAAUAAAACUUAAAGAAAAGUGAUAUAUAAUCACGAUUUGAAGCCAAUUAUUAUUACUAUAUUUGCCAGUUCAUUGUAAUACUCCCAACACUUUAUUGCGAGCUUCUGAAAGUUUGAGAUACUCCAGCUACCUAGAACAGUUAGAAUAGAAAUAUGGUGGCUACCAGUAAAGGUGAAGUUGAUCAGGUUGCAGAAGUAGAACCACAUUAUGAUCGACAGAGUGAACUACAAGCAUUUGAUGAAACCAAGGCUGGUGUUAAAGGGCUUGUUGAUGCUGGCAUUACCAAGGUGCCUCGGAUAUUCAUUCAACCGCAAUGUAGCUUAGAUGACGGUCUCAAUGGCACCAAAGGAAUCUUCAAAUUUCCUGUCAUCGAUCUGGAUGGUAUUGAUACAGAUCCAGCCAGGCGCAAAGAGAUAGUUGACAAGGUUAGAGAUGCAUCAGAAACAUGGGGUUUCUUUAACGUGGUAAAUCAUGGAAUUCCUUUCAGUGUCCUGGAGGAGAUGAUUCAAGGCGCGCGUAGAUUUUUCGAGCAAGAUACUGAGGUUAAGAAACAGUGGUAUACAAGGGAUUAUACAAAAACAGUGGUGUACAACUGCAACUUUGAUUUACACAUUUCACCAGUAGCCAACUGGAGGGAUACAUGUUAUUGCUACAUGGCUCCUAAUCCUCCAGCUCCAGAAGAAUUGCCUGAUGCUUGCAGGUAGAUUUCUCAGGGAUCUUCUUUUCUUUGCCUUGUAUGACAAGUGUGGUCUGAAAAUUACUAGAAUAAGGGCCAGUGGCCACUAUUCUGGUGAUUAGAUGGUAGUAUUAAUUGACAAUGAAUCUUUAAGACAUAUCUAAUUUCUAGUUAUGAAGUGGAAAAAGAUUGAGCUGCUGGAAGUUAUAGUUAACUUAAAUCAACUCUUGUUCCUGUUAAACUAUAUCUGAUUACUCAUUUGAUGAAUUCGACUACAGUGAAAUCGUGAUAGAAUACUCAAAGCUAGUGAUGAAGUUAGGCUGCUUAUUGCUCGAAUUUCUGUCAGAGGGCCUUGGACUCAAUCUAAGCUACCUCAAAGACAUUGAUUGUGCAGAGGGGCUUGCUGUACUAUGCCAUUACUAUCCACCGUGUCCACAGCCAGAACUUACCUUAGGCACCAGCAAGCAUUCUGACAACGGCUUCAUCACAGUCCUCCUCCCAAGGCAAUUUAGGUGGAGUUCAAGUACUUCAUCAAAAUCAGUGGAUUGAUGUUCCUUCUACACCUGGAGCUUUAGUGAUCAACAUCGGAAAUCUUUUGCAGGCGAGCCUGUGAUUUAUUGAUUUCCUGUUUUGUACUGCUAUAUUCUUGAAAUAAGGUUGUAACAAACAAGUGCAUUAUGAUGUGGCCAGUUAUGACAUCAUUUCCAUUGUUUCGGUUGGUAAAUUUUUAGUCUUUGGUUGUGAAUUAUAUACUCAUAUCUAAUGACAAGUAAACCUAGAAUUUUGGCUAACAGAGUCAGUCCUAGAGUAUCAGUAGCAAGCUUUUUAGCUACCGGUCCAAGGCCAAUAACAAAGGUUUAUGGACCUAUCAAGGAGUUGUUAUCAG
rnacentral:lncRNA from 1 species